GGAAAAGACAUGGUUAAUCAACAAAGUGGCACACACGGUACUCGUGUUCUCUUUACAAGGCAAACACUCUAUCCACUUUGUGUACAUACAUGUAACGGUUAACAUGUAUUUGUUACCGGACCUAUAAAGUCAAUUUGAAUAUCAGACCAGGGUUAUGACACCCCCCUCUUCUAAAGUGUUGCACGAUGGGUUGGACCAUGGGGUUGAUAUUGCGGACAAAUCAAGCAUCCCUGACAGUAUGUCUUAACAUCUCUUAACAUGUGUGGCCAAUAUGUAUAAUCACGCAAUAUCUCAUAUGUGAUCUGUAGCGGAGAUGCAAUAUUACCCAGGUUAUCUCCGCUUAUAAUCCAAGUGAGGCUCAGGAACAAGUAAAUAGUAAAUCCACAGGCAAGGCUUCCAGCAGGUAAAAUACAGCAAUAUCCCAACAGCAAUC